GCCCCCUUAGCUCAGUGGACAGAGCAUCGGGCUUCUAUCCCGAGAUUGCGUGGGUUCGAAUCCUACAGGGGGCG
rnacentral:tRNA from 1 species